rnacentral:rRNA from 1 species
CCAAUAGCGUAUAUUAAAGUUGUUGCAGUUAAAAAGCUCGUAGUUGAAUUUCGGGAUUGACACAUCGGUCGUGCCUUAAGGGGUGUGAACUGGUGUAGUCAAUUUCUCACCUUCUGGAGAACCGCGAUGUCCUUAAUUGGGUGCCGCGAGGAACCAGGACCUUUACUUUGAAAAAAUUAGAGUGUUUACAGCAGGCAUUUUUGCUUGAAUACAUUAGCAUGGAAUAAUAAAAUAGGAAGGCAUGAUUCUAUUUUGUUGGUUUCUAGGAUCACCGUAAUGAUUAAUAGGGAUAGUUGGGGGCAUUAGUAUUCAAUUGUCAGAGGUGAAAUUCUUGGAUUUAUUGAAAACUAACUACUGCGAAAGCAUUUGCCAAGGAUGUUUUCAUUAAUCAAGAACGAAAGUUAGGGGAUCGAAGACGAUCAGAUACCGUCGUAGUCUUAACCAUAAGCUAUGCCGACUAGGAAUCAGACGAUGUUAAUUUUUUAAUGACUCGUUUGGCACCUUACG